CCUACGGGUGGCAGCAGUGAGGAAUAUUGGUCAAUGGACGAGAGUCUGAACCAGCCAAGUAGCGUGAAGGAUGACUGCCCUAUGGGUUGUAAACUUCUUUUAUAAAGGAAUAAAACGAGGCACGUGUGCCUUUUUGCAUGUACUUUAUGAAUAAGGAUCGGCUAACUCCGUGCCAGCAGCCGCGGUAAUACGGAGGAUCCGAGCGUUAUCCGGAUUUAUUGGGUUUAAAGGGAGCGUAGAUGGGUUGUUAAGUCAGUUGUGAAAGUUUGCGGCUCAACCGUAAAAUUGCAAUUGAUACUGGCAGUCGUGAGUACAGUUGAGGUAGGCGGAAUUCGUGGUGUAGCGGUGAAAUGCUUAGAUAUCACGAAGAACCCUGAUUGCGAAGGCAGCUUACUAAACUGUGACUGACAUUGAUGCUCGAAAGUGUGGGUAUCAAACAGGAUUAGAUACCCCGGUAGUC
rnacentral:rRNA from 1 species